rnacentral:rRNA from 1 species
UCGAUAAUCCACGAAUACUCAACCUUCCCUUGACAUUUCAGCAUGUAUACUGCCGUUGUAAGCAUACCUCUAAAAGAAUAAGUAUGCCACUAUGAUCAAAUAAAAUGACUCAUAUACAUCAGGUCAAAGUGCAGCCAAUAAGAAGGAGAUGAUGGGUUACAACCCUAAAACAGACUAUCAACUAAGAAAUAAAAAAUCUUACGAAAGUGGACUUGACUGUAAUUAAUUAAAAAGUAUAGAAAUGAAUAAAAUUCUAAGACAUGCACACAUCGCCCGUCACUCUAUCCAAAAGGCUAGAUAAGUCGUAACAAAGUAGGUGUAAUGGAAAUUGCCCCUGUCGGAGUAUAGCAUAUAAAAUGCUUUUUACUUACACUAAAAAUAAAGUUAAACAACUUGCUUCGCACAAAUGUAAUUAUCCUAUAAUGAAACGAGAAUAUAAACAAAUAAAUAAAUUAAAUUAAUGAGUACAGAAAUGGAAGAAGAAAUAAACAAAAGUAAAUUUAAAUAACUGUACCUUGUGCAUUAUGGUUUUACAAGAAAAUAAUUAAAAAUACCUAUCCCGAAUUCUUUAUGAGAUGUUAAGCUGCUGUCAUGAACCCAUUAAUAGCUGUAGAAUAAGCUUUAAGAGACAGCCUAACAGAGGCUACAUACCAUACGCAUAAGAAUAUAGCUGGUUUUCAACAAACAUUAUAUAUUAAAGCAUGUAACUAUGUUACAAUGUUAUAUUAUUGAGGACAAGCCCAAUAAAAAAAGCAAUAAAUACUUAAAUCUAUAUAAAAAUAUAGGCCUAAAACCAGCCAACCAAAACACUUUACCGUAAUAUAAGAAGAUAUAAUACCUAAAACAGUAAUAUGCUAAAAUAGUUGAAAUAGCGAAUAAACUAAAUUCACCGCUUAUAAUAUGUAAAAAUAAGUAUUUUAAACUAUAUAAAUAAAAGACUAGUAAUAUACAAAUGAUUACAUUACAAUAAUUAAUUAAGGAACUCGGCAAACCAUUAUUUCGACUGUUUAACAAAAACAUUGUCUCAUGAACAAAAUAUGAGAUAAUAC